UACGUAGGGGGCAAGCGUUGUCCGGAAUCAUUGGGCGUAAAGAGCGUGUAGGCGGCUCGGUAAGUCCGCUGUGAAAGUCCAGGGCUCAACCCUGGAAUGCCGGUGGAAACUGUCGAGCUAGAGUCCGGAAGAGGCGAGUGGAAUUCCCGGUGUAGCGGUGAAAUGCGCAGAUAUCGGGAAGAACACCCGUGGCGAAGGCGGCUCUCUGGGACGGUACUGACGCUGAGACGCGAAAGCGUGGGGAGCGAACACGG
rnacentral:rRNA from 1 species